AUAAAAUCGAAAUACUUUUGUUGAAAAUUUCUCUAACUUUUGCAUACGAAAUAUUGAAAGUCAGUGUACAAAGCAACAACAUUUAAUUUUUUCAAUAUUUUACACAUUUAUAUGUAUAUGUGCUGUCGGAAAUGAUCAGCUGCACCCACACCUACGUCAACACCGGUUCCAGCGCCAAUGCCAACAAUACGCCCAGCACUACUCUCCAAGGGCACUACAAUGUUGCGUAAACUGUCGAUGCUAUUGCGUAGUUUAACGGUCUGGAAUUUAGCUGGCAAUUUCGGCGAACCUCCCACUGAAAAUGCUUUAAACUCCUAUGAAGCGGGCAGCGUUCAAGAAAUAAGACAAUUCAUAUACAAACCAAAUUAGUAUGUAUAAUUCUUUUGGUGCAUUAUUCUUUUAAUUGAACCAAAAAUCAAAUUUUGUGUACAAGAAUAAAGUAUCGAACAAAAUGCUUAAAAAAUAUUUGUAAACAUAUAUGCAUGUAAUAUCUACAAACUAAUAAAUAUAAAGUACUUCAAAGUGACGAAUUUCAUGUGAAAAUAAAUUGGUAUAAUUCAUUUGACCACGAUAUUAAAUAUAUGUAUAUCGAACUGAAUACAAAAAAAAACAAUAAGAAAAAAGCAUUUAAGAUAAAUUCGAAGUUAACUUACAAAUGAUAUUGUAUUGUGAAUUAAAAUGAAUUUGGAAAUUUGGAAAACAGUUGUUGAUUUUACUUGAAAAUUAUCCAAGUUAAAUUUUAUGAAAUGAAGCUUUAUUAUAUAAAUUAAAUGUUGUAAUGUGAAUGAAACUUUUCAAAAAGUCAAAUGAUGGCGUUUUAAAACUAUAACUAAGUGUAUAUUAAAUUAAACUGGCAUCUUCAUGCGAAGCUUUUGGAAAUCAAUAUUGAAAAUUGCAGUGUUGCCAUAUGUAAACU